rnacentral:rRNA from 1 species
CGUGCAGGCGGAGUGUCAGGUGUUGUGUGAAAGCCCCGGGCUCAACUCGGGAAUGGCACAGCAAACCGGCACUCUUGAGGCGGGUAGAGGUGACUGGAACGACUGGUGGAGCGGUGAAAUGCGUAGAUAUCAGUUGGAACGCCAGAGGCGAAAGCGAGUCGCUGGACCCGUCCUGACGCUGAGACGCGAAAGCGUGGGUAGCGAACA